ensembl:ribozyme RNaseP_nuc Nuclear RNase P
GGCAAAGGAAGCUCAUCAGCCGGGGGAGGGGGGGAGUCCGUGCUGAAUGCCGGGGAGGUCUGAGACUGGGGCCUCCCGCGGACCUCCCCGAGCGGGGGAGGGGGGGCUGGGUAGAGGGGAAGGGGGGUGAGUUCCCAGAGAGCAGGGCAACGAGCAUGGGCAGACUGGCCAGGAGAGGCCCUGAGUUCGCAGAUGCCUCCCUCACCGGAGCUUGGAACAAACUCUAGGCCAGCGAAGACCAGGUUUAGAUUUCUUGUGUUACGAUACAUCUCAGAAGAAAAAUCAAAUAUUUUCGAUGUAUC